rnacentral:lncRNA from 1 species
UGGUGGAUUGGAAGAAGAUUCCGCACAAUUGAAGGAAGCAGCUAUGCUCGAUCUAAUCUCGGAUCUCAUUCACCUUCAACUCCUCAAAGUCUUGAUCCCUUCCUUUAAAUCCUAUAUCCUGAAGGUAAUUCCUUUGUUUUUUUUUUAAUUCUAAUGGUGAUAUGAUGAUUAAUUACAUCAUAGAAUGUUAGGCAUGUGAUGCUCGAGCUUAAAAGCUUAUAUUAUGCCCCACCUAACUCAUGACGACCUGCACCAUAUAUGCUACCUUGAGCCACCUGGAGAUGGAUUUGAGGUGAGCAUGUGUAUGGGGUUUUUCAAUAGCGAGGCAGAUACAUAUAUUGGCUUACUCGAGUCAUUGCCAUCAUAUUGUGUGGUCCCUCCUCAUAUUGGACCCACAAUCUUAAAAUAAAAUAAAAAGGAAAUGUAGGUGUUUUAGAUCAUGUAUUUUUGGUUGGGUUGGAAUUGUUGGGGCAAUGGAGGGUUGUGCAGUGUAAAAAUAGAGGCAACAACAAUGGGAAAGAGAAAGAAUUCAGAUAAAAGGUACUAUUUUGUCAAAUAAUCAAAUAGUUGAUUGUAUCAUGAUUUUGAUGAAAUUUUAGUAUGUUGUUUCUCACAUCGAGAGCUACAUGUUGAAUAUUUUUAAUCUUUAAGAGUCUUCUUCAUUAAGUAUUUCAAAUAUCCACAUGUUUUGUGAGAUCUGCCUUUUGUUUAUUGUUAAAUUUGCUUUAUUGAUAGUGAUUAUUUUUAUUAUAGAAGCCAAGAUUUAUUCUUGAUAAUAUAUUUGUAUAACCUCUAGUUGAUCUAGAGAAGACUUGUAAUAAUCCAUUAUUCUAAAUAGUGAAAGAUUUAUAUCAAAAUUAUGGUAUUUUUUUUAUGAGUUGCUUGAUUAUUUUUUGCUUAUUAAAUUAUCUGAUUAGAUUGUAGAGAUUAUUAUUUCUCUAUGAUAUUUCAUUUAAUUGUACAAAGAGAGAAAAGAAGUUUGCAGCAUUAUUGUCCAUGAUUGCAGUUUUUUCCAACAAAAUGGUAUUAGAACAAGGUUGUUACUGAUUGAAUUUUCUUGGAUUGAUUAAAUGAAAGAACAUAUGAAAAGAAAUAUGAUUAAACUUAUAUCUUUCAAUUAUUCAAUUUGAAAGUUCGAAUGAAAAAUUUAUUAUUCUAUAAAGAUUUGUAUCAUCCCAUUGAAAAAGAUAGUACCAAACUAAGUGAGAAAAGUUAGUGAGAAAACUUAGCAAGAGUGGCAAAAAAUAAAUAGGAAGAUAGUUAGAUUAAUUAGGCAAUAGAAAGAUGAUAAAUUUUUUAUCAUGUUGCCAUAAAGACUAAUGUCCAUAGUCCAUGGAAGAAACUGAAAAGCCUUUAUGAAUGGAAGAUCACAUGAAAUAAAGCAUUCAUCAUUAGAAAGCAUGUGAAUAUGAAGUAUAAGGAGAAAAGUUCAAUUGUCGCGCAUCUAAGUAAAUUUUAGAAUAUAGUAAAUCAGUUGGCUACUAUGAAAAUAAUGUUAGAUGAUGAGUUGCUAGCAUUGUUGUUGCUCAGUUCUGUACCUGACAGUUGGAAAACCCUAAUUGUAUCACUCUGUAAUUUAGCUCAUGGUGUGGUGACAUUAUAAAUAGUAAAAGAUAGUGUGCUUAAUGAAGAAACUAAAAGAAGAGAAUAGAUUGCAACUACACCGUCAGAGGUAUUGGUUACAAAAUAAUAAAGGAGUAAAAUUAGAAACUCACAAAAUUUCAACAACCAUGAUAAGUCAAAGAGAAUGUUCAAAUUCAAAAAAAGGAUCAAAUAUUUUUAUUGUGGCAAGUUAAGGCAUAUAAAAAAAGAAUGUAGAAAAUUUAAAAGAGAGCAAUCAAGAGAGAGAAGUGAAGAAAAGAUGGAAGAAAAAGAUACAGCAACAGUAGUAUUUGAUGUUGAUGUCGCUAUUAUUUGUAAUGAUAAUUUUGUGAACCUUACAUACCAUGAUUGUACUUAAGUUGUUGACUUAGGUAACUCUUUUCAUAUUACUUUUUGACGUAACCUCUUCACAUUUUACACUAGUAAUGAUUUUGGUAGUGUCAAGAUAAAAAAUGAUGGAGUAACUAAAAUUAUAGACAUGGAAGAUGUUUGCUUGGAAAUCAGUAUUAGAUGUCAAUUAUUGAUGAAAAAUAUGAGACAUAUUCUAAAUAUCUGUCUUCACUUGAUCUCUACUAGAAUACUUGAUGAUGAAGAUUACCACAUCCACUUUAAUGAAGAAAAAUGAAAGCUCAUCAAAGAUCUUCUAGUGAUAGUAAGAGAAAAAAAAAUCAAGCACACGUUAUAUGAUGUAGGUAAAAUUAUGCAAGAUGGAGGUAAAUACAGGUGAAGAUUCUUCCAUUGAAUUAUGGCACAAGCAGCUUGGCUAUAUGAGCAAGAAGAGAUUUGACAUUCUUGCUAGAAAUUUUUUUUUUUCUAUCAAAGGUAUGUCUUUGAAGACAUGCACUGAUUAUUUAACUGACAAACAAUAUAGAGUUGCAUUUUAUAAAUCUCCUCUAUAUAGAAGAUCAUAUAUUUUAGAUUUGAUUCAUAUUGAUAUUUAUACUAUGGAUGCUAGAACUUUUGGUGAUGUUUUAUAUUUUGUUACUUUUAUUGAUAUUACAUUAUGGAUGCUAGAUUUUUUGGUGAUGCUUUAUAUUUUGUUACUUUUAUUGAUAAUUAUUUUAGAAAAGUAAAGACUUUUUCUUUAAAAUCUAAAGGCCAUAUGCUCAAUGUAUUUAAUCAUUUUCAUGCUAGUGUUAAAAGAGAAACAAGAAGACAACUAAAGUAUAUUCGAACAGAUAAUGGUGGUGAAUACAAAGAUUCAUUUGAGAAAUAUUAUAGAGACCAUGGUAUCAGGCUUGAGAAAACUGUUCUUAAAACAUCUCAACAUAAUGAAAUUGCCAAGAGAAUGAAUCAUAUUAUUUGUGAAAGUACUCAAUAUAUGCUCUUUCAUACUAGACUGCUUAAAUUAUUUUGGAGUGAAGUGAUGAGAACUGCAGUAGAUUUGAUCAACCUUUUUUCUUUAAUUCUUCUUCAAGGUAAUAUGCCAGAAAGAGUAUGGAGUGGAAAAGAUGUGUAUAUAAUUUCUUGAGAGUGUCUGGCUACAGGCUAUUUUUUUACAUGCCUAAAGAUAAAAGAACGAAGCUUGAUAGAAGGUCUAAAUAAUAUAUCUUCCUAAGUUAUGCACAUGAAGAAUUUGGUUACAGAUUAUGGGAUCCAGUUGAUAAAAAGAUUAUCCAAAACAAAGAUAUUGUGUUUCUAAAAGAUUAAACUAUUGAAGAUUUUAAAGAAAUUAAGAAGCCAAAGUCUAUCACUAGAAAUUAUAUUGAUCUAGGUUUAGUGCCUCCUACAAAGAUAAAUAAUAAUAAUGGAGAAAAUGUACAGAAAGAUGAUACUAACAUCGAUGAACUCAUAUCUAAUAAUGAUGUGCCAGAUGAACAUGUUGAGCAAGCUCUUCCAAAACCACCAGUUGAGGCUCAAUUGAGAAGAUAUUAGAGAAUAUCAUCUAUCUCAGAGAUAUUCUUCUCAUAAGUAUGUGAUGAUCACUGAUAGAAGAGAACCAGAAUGCUACCAAGAUGUCAUGAAUCAUAAGCAAAAGAGAGAGUAGUUAAAAGCUAUGCAGAAGAAGAUAAGUAUUUGCAUAAGAACAACAUAUUUGAGUUGGUAAAACUAUCUAAGGGUACAGAGAACUCAAGAAUAAGUGGGUAUUCAGAUCGAAAACUAAAAGAAGAGCUCACAGUCAACAUAUAAGGCAUGGUUGGUUGUGAAAGAAUUUGGUCAGAAAAAAUAUUGAUUUUGAGAAAAUUUUCUCAUUUGUAAUUAAGAUGUCUUCAAUCCAAAUUGUUCUUAGUUUAGCCACAAGUAUAAAUUUGGAGAUUGAACAACUUGAUAUGAAAACUACUUUUCUCCAUAGAGACUUAGAGGAAAAAAAUUACAAAGAGUAGCCAAAGAGAUUCAUAGUUAAAGGCAAAGAGCAUCUUGUAUGUAGAUUAACGAAGAGCUUGCAUGGACUCAAGUAGGCACCUUGAUAGUGGUAUAAAAAAUUUGAUUCUUUUAUAAUAGACCAUAUAUACAAAAAUCACUUCUAAUUAUUAUGUAUUUAUAUAGAAAUUCUCUAAUGAAGACUUUAUUAUUCUCUUAUUUUUUGUAGAUGAUAUGCUAAUUAUUAGCCAUGAUGCUAGAAAGAUUGGAAGCUUGAAAAGAGAGUUGAGCAAGUCCUUUGCUAUGAAGGAUUUGGGGCCAGCUAAACAAAUUCUUGACAUGAGAAUUACUCAUGACAGGAAGAGCAGAAAACUUUAAUUGUCUUAAAAGAGAUAUAUUGAAAAGGUGCUUAAAAGGUUUAAUAUAAGUAAGUCGAAAUCAAUUUUCUCUCCACUUUGAGGUCACUUCAACUUAAGUUCUAAGCAAUAUCCUAUAAGUGAGAAAGAUAAAAAAAAAAAUGAAGAAGAUUCCUCAUGCAUCCGUAGUUGGUAAUUUGAUGGACACCAUGGUUUGCACAAGGUCAAAUUUUGCUUAUGCAGUUAGUAUUGUAAGUCGAUAUUUCUUUAAUCUUGAUAAGAAAGAUUAAACAGCUAUUAAAUGGAUCCUCAUGAGGUAUCUCAAAGGCACUUCUAUAGUCUAUUUGUAUUUUGAUAAAAGAAAACAUGUUUUGGAUGGGUACAUAAAUGCAAAUAUGGUUGGUGAUAUAGAUUCUAGAAAGUCUACAUCAGAAUGCUUGAUAAUUUUUUUAGGAAAAUAAUGUCAUAACAAUCUAAAUUACAAAAAUGUGUUACUUUAUUCACUAUAGAGGCCGAGUAUAUUGCAGUUAUAGAAGUUUGCAAAGAAUUUUUAUGGGUAAAAAUAUUCUAUAAAAGUUGGGUCUAGAACAAGAGAAGUAUAUAUUUUAUUGUAAUAGUCAAAGCACCAUCCAUCUUUUAAAGAACCCAAUAUUUCAUUCAAGAUCUAAGUACAUUGGUAUAGAUAUCAUUGGGUUCGAGAUGUUUUGGAGAUGAAAUUCUUUUAUCUUGAGAAAAUUUAUAUUGAUAAUAAUGCAUCAAAUAUGAUAACUAAGGUCUUGUCCUUGAAAAAGUUGAUUGCUUGUAGAAAAAAAGCAGGCUUGACGAAACCUCCCACAUAAGCCGGAAGGGGGAGAUUACUAUGUAGUCCCUCCUCAUGUAGGACCAACAACCUUAAAAUAAAAUAAAAAGGAAAUGUGGGUAUUUUAGGUCACGUAUUUUUGGUUGGGCCCGAAUUGUUGUGGCAACAGAGGAUUGUGCAACAUAAAAAUAGAGGCGGCGGCCAUUGGGAAGAGAAAAAAAUUCAAAGAAAUGAUAUUAUUUUGUUAGAUGAUCAGAUGGUUAAUCGUAUCUUGAUCUUGAUAAAAUAGUAGUAUAAAAUUAUUCCUGGCAUUGAAAGCUAUAAGUUGAACGGUUUUGAUCUUUAAAAAAGUCUUCUCCAUUAAUUAUUUCAAGCAUGCAUAUAUUUAAUGAGAUCUAUCUUCUAUUUAUUAUUGAAAUCUAUUUUAUUGGUGAUGAUUAAUAUUUUUAUUGUGGAAGUUAAGAUUUAUUCUAAAUGAUAUAUUUGUAUAAUUUUCAGUUGAUCUAGAGAAGAUCUGUAGUAAUCCAUUAUGCUAAAUAGUAAAAAAUUCAUAUUAAAAUUGUAAUGUCUCUUUUUAUGAAUUGCUUGAUUAUCUUUUGUUUAUUAAAUUAUCUGAUUAGAUCAUAGAUAUUAUUGUUGCUUUAUGAUAUUUUAUUUAAUUAUCUAAAGAGGGAAAAAAAUUACAGUAUUAUUGUUUGUGAUUGCAAUUUUUCUCAACACAUCACUAUUCGGAUACAAGAUAAUUGAUUCAUCCAAAAUAAAGCCUAAAAUAUCAAACUGAUAUAAAUAUUUUUGAUAUAGUUUGCCAAGACCAUAGCAUCAUCAGAACAUGGAUGUAGAAAAACCACAUAAAAUUGGAUGAGUAAUCUUAGUGAAAUAGCUUUACCAGCUACAACUUUUAUGUUAGGAAUAAGAACCGCAUCCCCCAGUGGCACUCAUAAUUCAUAGUAUUUAUCAGCCAAAUGGAAAACAACAUUAAAAUUUNNNNNNNNNNNNNNNNNNNNGUUGGGUGGGAGGGGGGGUUAAAAAAUGUGAUUGCAUGAAUACAUUUGGAAUUGUACUCAAAGAAAAAAAAAGGGUAAAUAUACUGAAAACAAUCAUCAUGAUAGGGUGAUUUGGAUGUACAGGCCAUCAAAUUAGCAACCAUGCAUACAUGUCAAUGGCGAGAACAAGUCACAAAUAAAUUGCCAUGUGAAUUUUUAUCACUUUGACUUGACUUCAAAACACUUAAAAUUCCAUUUUAAUACAUAGGGGGAAGAGUGAAAAACAAAGGGGAAAAGAAUACUAUCAGCCACUAGACUCUAUCAAAAUACCUUGUUCUUGCCUGAUAACUUGUCCCCUUAGUCUAUAACCUGAUAAUCCCUUCGGCGAUUGUCUCGAAUUCAGUUUAUACUUGACCUGCACCUUGGUAUUUAUUUGUUCUCAGUCUGUCUCAGCAAUUCAUUCGUGGUCUAUGGUCAUUUGUGCCUUGGCACUCAAUCUGUGCUCAGCCUCCUAUUUGGUAUCAGGUCUACUUGACCUGCCCUUUGGUGCUGAAUCCAUGCUCUAUCUAUAGCUUGGCACUUGGUGUGUCCUGCACCUUGGUAUUUAUUCCAUGCUUGGUCUGUGUCCCAACACUUCAUGCUUGAUCUACCAUCUAGUACUUGGUUUUGUGCCCUCACACUCAACCUAGGCUCGGUCUCCUGUUUGGUAUCAGGUCUACUCCAUUUGCACUUUGGUGCUCAAUCCAUGCUCGGUCUACUGCUUAGUUCUUGAUUUGUGCUUAGCACUUUUGUGCUCGGCCUGUCUCUUAAGCUACAUCUAUACAUUCAGUCCACUUUCCAUACUACAAACGAGGUCUCUAAGUACUUGGUUAUUCUCAUCCUUCUCGGAAGUCACUACUUCUUGCCUAAUCAAGAUCUAUAAUUGAUUGGUCCAAUGCUCUUGGCUAUUAGUUUGGAUGUAGUGUCAAAUGAUUUUGGGAUUAAUCAAUUUGAGCUUAAGCAAGCUAGCUUUUACUCAGCUUGCUUGCAAAUUGAUUAGAUUGAAUUUAAGCUGAAUUUUUAGCUAAAUGCAAGCUCAUUUGUGAAUAGCUCACUUAUUUGAUGGUAAUCAAGGGUUACCUGGACUGCGGAGCAAGUUAUUUAAGGACUACUAUUCCCUGAUCUAAAACUUUCUUGUUUGUUUUUUUUGGGUAAGAACAAAAACUUUUUUGUUAAAAUGAUGUAAGAAAGACAGGAAGUUUAAAAUUUCAGAGAAACUUUCAAUCUCCACAUCCCGAUUUUUCUGGAAUAAGAUAAAGCCCUUCUAUACAAUUUACAUUAUCCCUAAAAAUUAGGAUUAAUGGUUCCAACGAGUAGCUUGACGUCUCCCACCUCUUCUUUACUUUGUUCUUUUUUUUUAACUCCAAGAGUUACUCCAACAUAUCGUAUGACUCUGCCAGCUGAUAUUAUCAAUCCAAUAAGAUUUUAUAGCAUCCAAACAAACUCCAAAGUCUUAUUUGGAUCAAGAGAUCAGAGAAGAAAUUAAACAGAAAUAGAGGAAAGUAAAAAUCCUUUUUGUUUAGGAUAGAAAGGAAGUGAAACUCAUUCCUGUAAUUUGGUUAGGAACCUAGAAGAGAAAAGAGAAGAAAGUUAAAAUCUCUUCUUUGGAUAGUUAGGAGAGAAAAGAAGAGAAAAGAAGUAAUGUAUCUCUAAACCCCUUCUUUCAAUCUCUACAAAAGGUGAGGGAUCUAUAGAGAAUAGUAAUUCAAUCUCUCUUCUCUUGAAUCACCUUAAGUAAUUCAAAUUACCUUAAAUUGCUUUUAUAUUUAUGUCUACCUUCAAAUAUUACAUAAAUGUGUCGUUGCUUCAUAGGAUGCUUGGCUCAUCUAGCUACCAGAGGAACCAGACAAAAGGGUCUAUGAAGAAUCACUUGUCCAACCUUUGGAAGUAAUGAUCAUGGACCUGGUAGAUGAUUUUGAUGAUAGGGAUUAUAUCCAUGAUAUCGAGUAUUUUCUUGGAGAUGAGAACCUUCCGAUCUACACUAUAAAAGAUAAUUGAAUUGAGAUCCAUUAGCUUACUACCAAAUAUGUAAAAAUGGUUAAGCUCAUGCUACUAUUGCAUUUAUUUAUAAAUAUAUAUAAUACAUCAAAAUUUCGUGAUUCUAUGAUUGUGGGAAACAAAUAAAGGAAAAGAUAAAAUCCUAUAAUUAUGGGAAAUAAAUGAAGGAAAGACAAAAUCCCAAGUUGUGGGAAAUAAAUAAAGAAAAGACAAAAUUUCAUAAUUGUGGAAACAAAUAAUAGAAAUGAAUAAAUAAGAAAUUUUAAUGCUUUCCUAAUCAAGGAUGGUAGAGUUAAUGGAGGAAUUGAUAAGCUGGUGGAGUUCGAUGGAGGAUUUGAUAUGCUUUUCAUGGAGGAUUUGAUAUGCUUUCCAAAUAUAACACUCUAAUAAAAUAUGUGCUCUAAGGCGACAUCUCGUGUCCUUGAUCCUAUGAUGGUCUCCUUUUCAGGUGCAUUGGCGACGGAUCAUGCCAGAUGGUUGAUGAAGGUUGCUUUGAAGUAUGGAGCCGAUGCGAAUAGUGUAAUGUUCCUAAGAAGAUCGCCAAAAAAGGCUAAUAUUGAUUGACCAUACAGAUUGACUGCUACCUAUAGCGAUGAUGCGUCAAAUAUCAGAUUCAUGCGAACAAAAUUGAGGCACUUGGUUCAUGAUUGCAUCCGUGCUCGAUGUUGGCUCUAGAUGUGAUCAGCCCUUUGAGUGAAAUAGUGAAGGGAAGCAAGAAGAUACAUGUGCUCGCAGCCACUGACCACCGCACGAAGUGGACGAAGUGGGUUGAAGCUGAGGCAUUUCCCUAGGACCUGCAAGCAACAGUCAUCACGUUCCUGCUGCUUAACGUACUUACCCUUUUGGUAUUCCCAAAACGAUCAUGAUAAGAAAUAGACCCUCAAUUUAUCUCCUAGGCUAUGCAUGACUUCUGUGAGAGAAUGGCAUCAAAUUGACCACUCUACUCCUUAACAUCCUUGGGGCAACGGCCAAGUUAAGGCAGCAAGUCAGACCAAGCUCAAGAUCAUUAAGAAAAUGAUCAGGACUCAUGAUGCAUUGAAUUGGCCCAAUAAGCUUGUCGAGGUGUUACGAGCCUAUCUCACUUUUCAAUUUGUAUAGCCACUGGUCAAACCCCUUGUACUCUUCAUAUGGAAUGAAUAAAGUAGUUCCAUAUGAAUUCCUAAUCCCCUAAUUCUGAUUAAGCAUAGAUGAGCAUGAGAGGCUCUUAGCCUGACUCAAACUCCUCAAUCAGAAGUGGUUUGGAGCUGCCAAGCACAUCCAGAUCUACCAACAAAUAAUCUCUGGAGCCUAUCAAAAGAAAGUUAUCAUGCACUAUUUUGAACUUAGUGAAUUGUCCUUGGGAGAAUUACUUGGUUACAAGCUCCAUCUGAGGGGCAAGCUCCGACCUACAUGGUCAGGCCCUUGCUCUUGAAAGUGCCAAUCAAUUAACCAUCGGAUGACAUGCUUGGAUGCCAUGCAACUUAAAGUACUUCAUGUAAGCCUAACCUGAAUCAUCGGUCCUCGCUCCCCGUAACCAAAUUGAUGAGUUGGCUGAAUCUGAACACAGAGGGUGCAGCUAAGAGAGAAUUAGGGGCAAGCCCAAAACAAAGCCUUAAUCUUACAUGAGCAAACUUCACUUGGGAAGGCUUGAGGGGAGCCAAAGAUCGAUCCCUACUUGCCAAGGCAAAUCCACGUUAACUUAUGACCUGCUAAAAUGAUUCUAAUGUGGACCACGAGGAGACUCCCACCAAUUUCCUACAAAAUGAAAGAGCCCAAAACUGGCAAAGAAAAACAAAAGAGCCUAAAAGCAGCCCCAAAAGGAGAUCCACUAGAAUUUGGUUAUCUUUGGUCUCACCAGGGCACCAAGCUCUAAACUCACACUAAGGGCUUGUUUGGAUAUUCAUACAAGAUUGGGCUGAAAAUCCUGUAGGAUUUGGGCAUUGGCUGUCUAUUUAAACAUGGCUUUGUGUCAACCAAGCAUCACUCAGCUCCAAUCCUAUGGAAAUGGAAAAAAGAUCAACCCCCAUGGUCUUUUAUUCUUUCCUGCAUCCCAAAGGCUAAAAUAUAGGCUGGGUUUUGAUGGGCUCUUAGGAAAUGCAAGCUAGAAGAGCCAAUAAGCUAGAUUCCUAUUGAAUUUUCUGCCUAAUCCUAUAGGAAUGUCCAAAUAGGCCAUAAAUAAUUUGAAAACCUCGCCAAAAGAGGUUACCGAAUAAGAAUAUUAUGAUGAGGCGUCGGUGGGUAGAGAACCUUGGUUUCUUUAUUAAAACAAAGACAGCUCUGUAUGUGUAAGUUAGCAACCCAUUUAACCUUACAGCCGAGUUCUUUAUGGGCAUGGUUAUUUCUACAAAAUGCUAUGUUACUAGCUCCAAAACUGCUUAUCAUAGGCCAUGCAUUUGUUCUACUAUUUGUGUAAAAUUUGUGUAGUUGGACCUUUCAUGGCUCAUUAGUUCAAUGGUUAGUUGGUAACGGAGCAGCAAUUCAUAUAUCUACUGAUCUAUGGAUCUCUAAUGUGCCUUUGUUAGCAUGGCCUAUGUUUAUCAAUAUGGAUAACCUGCCUUUUGAUAUAUAGGUCGUUGAUUUAUUGGCUCCAGACCAGGUAUGGAAUCACUAUUUGUUGAAUGAUCUCUUUUCAAUUGAUAUGACAAUCCAUAUAAAUGCAAUCCCAUUACCAAAUACUAAGUACCUCACUGGUAACAAGGCAUGGCCUCUAAACCUCUUUCUCUUCUUUUUCUUAGUUUCUUUAAGGUCCUCGCCGGUUGGGUGGCCAUUGGAUUCCAUGGAUAAGGCUUCCCCUGCUCUUGUCUUCUUCUUUCCUUCCAUCGAAGCAACCGCUGUCAUUGGCCUGCCAUCGUUAGGGCCUGUCAUUGGGAGCAUUGCCAUGGGAGAUGGCUGGCUUAGACCUCCCCUUCCUCUAUUUUACACAAAGAAGAAAUAGAGAAUGAGAGAAAAAAAAGAAAGAAAAGAAAGAAAAAAAAAAAAGAAAAAAAGAGAGAGUUUUUUGUCUCUCGUCCCUCUAUCCUCUCUUUAACUUCUCUCUCUAUGAGUUUCUCCCUCUAUUUUCUCUAUAUACUUUCUCUAUUUAGAAUUUUUCUUUCUAGAUUGUUUUUCUACAUGGAUUUCAAUCUCUAAAAAAUUUAUGGACCAAUGGAGGGUCGAGGUACUUAGGUAACCUAGAUCGAUUGGUUGACUUUAGGAGAGAUUUUAGACUUAUGAUAUUAGGAUCGUUUAUUGUAAUUUUUCACCGUCUUUAAUCGCCCAUGAUUUUAAUGUUUAAUCUUGAUUAUAUAGAGGUGCAACUGUCUGCACAAGAUGUCGAAUGAAACAUCUUAUUUUUGAGUUCAUAGAUCGAGAAGUUCAUCGAUUACUGUGUUUGAGUCGAUCACUAAUGAAAGUAAAGAUUGUUCAACAUGAUCAUCUACAUAUUUAUGAAAAAUUAAAUAUAUAUGAUUGAUGCAUACUAUAUCUAUCAGUAUGUGCAUUAUAUGUUGUUCAAUUGAUAUUGUUUGAAUUAUGAUUAAUUAGUACUUAAUGAUUGCUAAGUAAGAAAAAUAUGAUUUAACAUAAUUGAUAGGGUGGACGGCAUUUAGGUUUGUCGAUCACAUAAGAAACAUGGUGUAUAUGCUAGAUCAAUCUUGGAUUAGGGUAUGGCAUUAUUUUGGUUUGCUAUGAGCUGCAGCAUAACUAUGACUAAUCUAAUACUGAAAGAUUAUGAUUUUAAUAAUAUGGAUAGCGCAUGGGUAGUGUUUGGACAUUUGGCUAUGCCAGAAAUAUAGUGUGUGUACUGGGUCAAUCUCGAGCUUGGAUACAGUGUUGUGUUUGGCCGACCACAGGCUAGAGCAUGAUUGUAAUUAGUUCAAUAUCAAAAAAAUAAUCAUAAAAUAUGAGAAAAGAGAGCAUGUGGGUAGUUGGCCGUGUGUGAAACAUAGCGUAUUAGUCGUGUAUUGAGAUGUUUGGCUACCACAAGCUAGAGUGUGAUUGUCUAGUCCAGUACUAAAUUAAAUUAAGAUGAUGAACCAUGUUUAAUUAAAGGAUAUCUAGACUAGCUGCAUGUGUGAAACAUGAUGUUUCUGAUGUCAACUAUGGGCUGAGAUGUGGUUGCCGGCCAUGGACAGAAAUAUGGUGUGUCUUUGGUCUGCUAUGGGCUAAUGCAUGAGCGGUCUAGUUCAAUGCCAAAAUAAUAAUGUUGUUUGGAUCAAAACUAUAUUAACCAGUUAAUGAUAAGCAAUCUUAUUGAAUUACUAUUGAACAGAAUCAUUGAUUUAUAAUAUAUAACAUGUUUAAUAAUAUUAUACAUGAUGAUAUUAUUUAACUAUCAAAUUAAUGAUAUAUCAAUCUUAUUAUUUUUCUAUCAGUUAUAUAUAUUUGUUAAAAGAUAUUUCAUAUUCAUGCUAAUAUGAGUGUGAAAAAUUUUUACUAGACUGUAAAACUUACAACUCUCUUUUCUUUAUCUUCCUAAAGUUGCAGGAUGCUCAUGUUGGCUGUGAUAUGGGUUCGUGGAUGAAAAGUGUUAGGAAGGAUUCCUUAAGAGUAUAGAACAUGGAUCGCUCAUCCAAGAUUGCUAACCCAGAUGAUGAUAUCGAUACCGCAAUAGGAAGGAAGAAAAAAUAUAAAAAGGAUGCAGUCAAAUACAUAGAUCAGUCCAAGACUUACCUCUAUAGUGCAUGCAAGCUUCACUAUGAAAGAAAAAUAAAUACAAGAGGAGAUCACACCCUCUCAACUCUCAUAAAUCUCUCUCUCUCUUAACAAGAAGUUCUCGACCCUCCCUUGCAAAGCUCUCAAAGAACCCCUAAAAGGACUCCCUGCCUGCCACCUAUUGCUCCAAGCCGCUCUCUGUGCUCCACAGCCAAUCUCAACUGCUACCACUAUUUCUUCAGGCCAUCAGGCCUCUUUUGAAGGCCCAAAAUCGAGUCCUGGUUGAAAUUUGACUUCUAUUUGGACUCAAAAAACUUUUUGGCCAUCUGAUCAAGUCUGCAUCAAAUUUUGGCCAUCCGAUCAUGCAAAACACCCUCUGAUCACACCCCUUGACCGUUGGAUCAUGCGAUUGUAAGUGUGGACCACAUUAUAUCCCCUCUUGACUACAGCGGUCCAUGCCUUAUGCAUGGACCGCGACUCCCACACUCUCGUGUGGUGGAUCAUGCGUGCAUCGUGCACCUUGCACGCGGGCACACCCUGGUGGACCGCCCUAUGGUCCGUGCAUCCGCAUCCUGAGCCACGCACUAUGGGCAGGCCUGUGCACUGCAGGCCCGCAUGCUGUGGACCAUUUGUGCCAGCGGACCGUACCUGCAAGCCUACAUUCCUACAUCUACAAACCUGGUCUGCUGGGCUUUUCCAUCUUGGACUUCUCUGCUGUGGGCUUCUUAUUGUGGGUUAAAUUUUGAAGCAUCAAAAUCCAACAAAAGAUGAAUAGAUAGAGCAUUAUUGAUAUCUAAUUGGAUGAUUGAAGAAUAAUUAAAUUUGUAACUGUACAAGUUUUAUUGAGUGUUAUGAAUUGAGAUGAUUAUUAUUUAUGGGUAUUGAGAUUGUAAUAGAUUUUAAUGCCUUGCAUGAUCUCUAGGGCUUCACUUUAGGGUUCAUGCAGUAAUUGUGUGCCUGACCUAGGUGCUGGAUUUGGGGCAUGAUAAAAUGCUAUGAGAGCUUAAGGUUAUGAUUUAUAGGGACUAUGAGUUAAGGGAUAUUUGAGCAUAAUUUUAUAAUCACUAAGGAUGUGACAGAAUGGUAUCAGAACUUAGAUUAUGAUCCCAUGAGAUUGUGACAUAACUGACUAGGACAUAACAGAAUGAUAUCAGAUCCUAGGUUAUGAUCAUUUAGGAUUGUGAUAUAAGUGACUAGCGCAUGAUGUAAGUAACAUCAAAAUUUAGGGUUAUGGUUACUAGGAAUUGUGAUAGAGGUGAUUCAUAGGAUUUGAAUGGAUAAUUUGUAUCUCGAAUUAUAAUUCAAGGAAUUGAGAAUCUAUGAUUUUAUUGGUUCAAAGAAAAUUUAGCAAACCUGAGAAAUUUAGUGGAUUUAGAUCAGAGUGUGCAGUGAAAGCAUAUGCGAUUUAAGUCAUUCAAAUUUGAUUGAAAAUAUUUAUUCUAAUAUGAAGGAUGUGAUGCUAAAGGAUUGGAAUUUCUUUUCGAGUGAAGAAGCUACAUAGGAGCUCGAGGAUUGGUUAAAAAUUUUGCACCCUUAAGAUUUCAACUUUGUAGUAUGCUAAUUUUGAGGACAAAAUUAUUUUAAGAAAGGAGAAUGUAAGGAUCCAGACUUUUUAAAUUUCCAUGCAUGAGAUUUAAAUCAAAAAUCCAAAAAAAAAAGAGAAGAAAACUUUGGAACCUCACAUGACUGGCAUGUGAGGCAGACUCCCAAUGAAGUCUACUUCCUUCUCCAUUUUUCACCUAGAAUAGGACUCUUAGGGCUUGUCGGAUUCUAAUGAAAGCCCUAGGAAUCGGUUUAUAAAAAGCUCCGAAUUCUUUCCCUAUGCAUUGCCUUCCACCCCUUGAUCAAUCACCGAUGAAAUCUAUGGGAUUUCUAUUAAGUAUUUUUGAGAGCCACUAUUAUUGUCAUCGGGAAAGAAGACCAAAUACCUCACUAGAAAUAAGGUAUGGCCUCUAAACCUCUUUCCUUUUUUUUCCUUAGGUUCUUUGAGGUCCUCACCAACUGGGUGGCCACUGGAUUUUCUGAAUAAGGCUUCCUCUGUUCUUAUCUUCUUCUUUCCUUCCAUCGAAAUAGCUACCGUCAUCGGCCAUGUUUGGCUAUCGAAGGUCGAGGCUAUCGAGGGCUCUGCCACCAUUAGGGGUUAUCAUCAGGAGUGCCACCAUGGGAGAUGGCUGGCUUAGAUCUCCCCUUCCUCUGUUUUACACCAAGAAGAAAUAAAGAAUAAGAGAAAAAAAGAAAGAAAAGGAAAAAAAAAGAGAGAGUUUUUAUCUCUCUCUUCUCUCUCUACAAGUUUCUCUCUUUAUUUUCUCUAGACUUUCUCUUUCUAGAAUUUCUCUUUCUUGAUUGUUUCUCUUAUAGAUUUCUCUCUCUGAAAAAUUUAUGAACCAAUGGAAGGUCCAGAUACUUAGGUAAUCCAGAUCAAUUGAUUGAUCCUAUGAAGAGUCCUGGACCUAUAAUGUUAUGAUCGUUUGUCAUAAUUUUUCACUAUCUCUAAUCAUCUAUUAUUUUUAUAUUUGACCUUGAUCAUAAGAGGUGUGACCUGUAUAAGGUGUCGAGCAGAACAUCUUAUUUUCAAAUUCAUAAAUUGAGAAGUUUAUCGAUUACUGUGUUUGAGUCAAUUACCAAUGGAGGUAAGGAUUUUUCAACAUAAUCAUCUACAUAUUUAUGAAAAAUUAAAUUUAUAUAAUUGAUGUAUUUUUAUAUAUCUAUCGGUAUGUGUAUUAUAUGUUGUUGAAUUGAUGUUGCUUGAAUUAUGAUUAAUUAGUGCUUAGUGUUUGCUGAGUAACAAAAAUAUGAUUUAAUAUAAUUGAUAGGAUGGGCGGUAUCUAGAUUAGCUAGUCAUACAAAAAAUAUAGUGUAUAUGAUGGAUCAGUCUCAGACUCUGAUGCGGCAUCAUUUUGGCCUACCAUGGGCUAGAGCAUGACUGUGACUAAUCUAAUAAUAAAAAUUAAAUUGACUUUAAUAAUAUGGAUGGGGCAUGGAUGGUGUUUGGAUUAUUUGCUAUGCAAAAAAUAUAGUGUGUGCUGGGUCAACCUUGGAUUGAGAUACAGUGUUGUGUUUGGCUGACUAUGGGCUAGAGCAUGGUUGUAAUUAAUCUAAUACUGAAAAGAUAAUUAUAAAGCAUAGAAAAAGAGAGCAUGUGGAUAAUCAGCCAUGUGUAAAACAUGACGUAUCAAUCAUGGACUGAGAUGUUUAGCCUAUCACGAUUGAAGUAUAGUUGUGACUAGUCAAGUACUGAAAUCUAAUCAAGAUGAUGAACCAUAUUUUAUUGAGGGGUAUCUGAACUAGCCGGCAUGUAUGAAAUAUGGCAUUUGUGAUGUCAAUUAUAGGUUGAGUUAUGGUUGUCGGCCACAGACAGAAAUAUAUUACGUAUUUGGCUUGCCAUGGGUUAGAGCGUGAGCGAAUCUAGUCCAGCACCAAAAUAAUAAUAUUGUUUAGAUCAGAACUGCAUUAAUUAGUUAAUGAUAAGUAAUUUUAUUGAAUUAUUAUUGAACAAAAUCAUUGAUUUAUGAUAUUGACAUAUUUAAUAAUACUAUAUGUGAUGAUAUUAUUCAACUAUAAAAUUAAUGAUGCAUGAAUUUUAUUAUUUUUCUAUCAGUUAUAUAUAUUUGUUAAAACAUGAUUCAUAUUCAUGAUAGUGUCACUACAAAAAUAAAUAUUUUUUUAUGAUAAAUUUUUAGUAAUAAAAUAAAAUAUCAUCACUAAAAGUAAAAUUUUUGUAACAAAUUAUAAUUCUAUUGUAAAAAAAUUAAUUUUUUAUGAUGAAAUCUCUUUUUGUCACUAGAGACAUGAGUUAUUACGAUAAAAUAAUAAAUUUAUCACAAAAAUACUCCAAUGAAAUCACAAUUUCUCAGAUUUUAGUACCAAAUCUAUUUGUGACAAAAUAUAUAUGUAUUUACGAUAAAAUAUUUGUCACUAAAAAUUAUCAAUUUGUGCCAAAAAAUUUAUCAUAAAAAAAUUCUAACUUUAGUUUUUUAUUUAUAGCAACAAAAUCACUAUUAUCACUUUAAGCAAAAUUGUUGAGACAAUAUUGUAUCAUAAAAAGUCUAAAUCACUAUUUAGUUAUUGGGAUGAAAAUAUUGUGUUGCAAAAAGUAAUUAUAUUUUUUAUAUUUUUUUAUGACAAAGGCUUGUUUAUUGUAAAAAAUUUAGAUUUUCUCCUUUUGUUCUCUCCUUUUUUUAAUAUAUUAUGAUAAAAAUAUUUUAUUGCAAAUAGUCUAUAUAUUUUUUAUGAUAAAGACUUGAUUAUUACAAAAAAAAGUUUUUCUCCUAUUAUUUUUUCCUUUUUUAAAUUUAUUGAGAUAAAAAUAUUUGUUAAUAAAAGUUAAUAUAUUUUUUAUGACAAAGGCUUAUUUGUUACAAAAAAAUUAGAUUCCCUCCCUUUUUCUCUUCUUUUUUUAAAUUUAUUAUGAUAAAAAUAGUUUAUUAUAAGAAGUCAAUAUAUUUUUUAUGAUAAAAGCUUGAUUGUUGCAAAAAAAAAAAAUUCCUCUUUUUGUUUCCUCUUUUUUUUUAAAAUUUGUUGUGACAAAAAUAUUUAUUAUAAAAACUCAAUAUAUUUUUUUAUGACUAAGACUUAUUUUUUGCAAAGCAAAUUAGGAUCCCUCCUUUUGUUCCUUCUUUUUUAAUUUUUUUGAUAAAAAUUGUUUUAUCACAAAAAGCUAUUAUAUAUAUUUUUUUUAUUUUUGUUGCAAAUGGCUAUUACAAUAUACUACCAUUUUAUUUGCAAAGCAUUAAAAUGAUGUUAUUAUAAAAAAAUAAUUAAUUAUAAAUAUUUUUGUGACAAAAUAUUUUGUCAUAGGAAGUCAUUAUAUUUUUUUUUUGAAAAACUCAUUUGCAAAAAUUAUGAAAAAAAAAUUAAAUGUUAAAAUAAGUAUCACAAAAAGUUAAGAAAAUUUUUGUAUUGCUUUAAAAUUAUUUGAUACUAAUUAUAUAGGAUGAAAUAAAUUUUAUCAAAAAAUCAAAUGCUACAAAACUUUAGUGGUUCAGCUAAGAUCAUAUUUAUCAACUUAUUAUAUGAUGUAGAAUAUCAAGCCAAAGAGUUUUACAUCAAACAGGAUAGGAAUAAGUCCAUGUGAGUAAAUCAUCGGGCUAUUGCAUUGACCAAACUUUGACUGACUAUAAUUUUUCCAUAUAGUGGUAUUGCAAGAUGAUCAAGAUAUGCUUUUCAUAUAGUUUUCUAAGAUUUAUGCCAUGGCAACCUUGGUGGAAACCCAGUUGAGGUCAUUUUCGAGGUCAAAUUUCACUAUUUCGAUCAAUUUUGAGCCUAUUUUUAUGUUUGAGUCCUAUCUUGGUAGUUUUUUCUUAUUCUAAUUGCAUACCGUAUAACACUGAAAUCUUUCAUGACAAAAUAAAGUUAAUUUGAUAAAAUAACAAAAUACAAACUUUAGUUUAAUUAAGGAGGAUGGUCCUAAAAAAUAAAUAAUAAAUAACUUACAUAUAAUAAGUUUGAUGACUAUAAUUUAGUGGUCCUAACCCAUUCUACCUAUUGUCGCAUCUCAUCUUAUUACCGGUUCUCCCUUCUUCUAUCAUUAUUUUAACUUUCUUUUCUUACUUUUUUCCUUUUUAUUUAUAUAUUUAAUUAAAUAAAGUUCUAUAUAAUAUAUGAACCAACUCUAACCAGUAUGGCUGCUCCAAACCUCCCACCUGAUUGAGACUCCUAAGGAUAGAAAAAAAAAAUCGAGGGGAAACACGAGUAAUUAUCCUAGGCUAUUUUGCUGCUCGAAAUCGCCCAUCGUCUAAGCUUUCCUGUUCAGCUGCUCUAAUCCUCCCAUCUAGUUGAGACUCUUGAGGAUGAAAAAUACGAAGAAAACCAUAGGAAAAAUAGAGAAAAAAUCAAAGAAAACAAAGAUUAGAUGAAAAAAUUAAAAGGUAAGAUCGUUUCCCAGAUUGAUUGAUAAUUCUUUUUCUUUUUGCUUCUUUUUCUUUUCAUUUCAUUCUCUUUUUAGAGAUAUUAGGGGAAGGAGAGCACCUAAGAGAGAGCGGAGGGGUUUCUUAGGUUCCAAUUAGGGUAUUUCGUGUGAGUUGUGGUGGUUUGAGUUGGUCCCUUGAGUUUUUGAGAGCUUAAUCUAGGUAGAAGUGAGUUUGGGUAUUUUUGAUCUACUGAGGAUGAAAAAGGCUGGGGAAAAUAGUGGACAAAUCAAAGAAAACAAAGGGAAGAUGGAAAAAAAUUGAUAAAACCUUUUCCCACAUAGAUUGAUCAUUCUUUUUUUUUCCUAUUCUUUUUCUUUUCAUUUCAUUCUCUUUCUCAGAGAUUUGAGGGGAAGGAGAGCACCUAAGAGAGUGCAAAGAGGUUUCUUACAUUCUAAUUAAGGUUUUUAACAUAAUAUUGUAAUAUAUAAUUUAAUUAUAUAAUAAUAUUUUGAUUUGGAAAUAUAAUAAUCAUGACAAUAAUAUAUGACUACUGUAUUAUAAUAAUAUAAUAUAUUAUGUGAUAUAAUUAUUAUACUAUAUUAUUAUAAAAUAUUAUUAAUAUAAAAAUUACUUUAUAUUUUAUCUAAAUAAUAUAAUAAACAAUAGUUGUUUCAGUUGCAAGUUAUGGCAAGUUGUGGCAGGUUCUCAUAUCUUUUCCUCUAAUGGUAUUUAAUUUUUUCUUUUGUAAAAAUAUGAUAUUGAAAUUCUUAGUUAUACUCUAAAAGAAGCUUAUUAUGUGAUUUUUUUUUUAUAGAAUAUGGACAAGAGUUGGAUUGAUGAUAAUAAUUCUUUUAGUAAGAGAUAUAAAAAAGGUGUUGAAUCCUUUCUUAAGUUUGUAAAAGAAUAUAUGAGGUGUCUGGAUGAUAUGAUUUUUUAUUCUUACUGUAAUUGCAAUAAUGAAAUAUACAAGAUCUUUAGUCAAGUAAAAUGUGACUUGUACUUGCAAGGAUUUUUUCUUACUUAUAGAAAUUGGACUUUGCAUGGAGAAAGAAUAUCGAUACAUAAUAGUGACAAUGAUAUCAAUGAUGAAAUGAUAAACAAUACUAAAUUUAGUGAAGACUUAGUAGAUAAUUUAUAUGAGUUGUUGAGAGAGAUGAGGAAAGUACAAUAAUUAUAAUUUGAUUUUUAUGUUUAUUAUGUAGAUGAAUCAAUUAUAUUACCAAGCAUGUAAAGAAGUCACAGAUGAAUUAUGGGUGUGAGCAAAUGAUCCUCAUAAAUCUAGCACAAGAUGUUGCUCUAGUUAUAUUGUGAAUGAAGUUCAAUUUCACAUAAAAGAUUAUGACAACCUUCAUAAAAUUCAAAUUAGUGGAUUACUUGUAGAAGGAGAACAUGAAGGAAAGAUAGUUGAGUUCUUUGAUUUUUUGAAGAGAGUUGUUUAACUCACAUAAAGUGAUGCUAUUUGAGUGCGAGUGGUUUAACACUAAAAGCAGUCGAACAGUACAAGAUGAUGGAUAACUUAUAAGCAUUGAUAUGAGGUCAUGGUGAUAUAAAGAUUAUCCUUUUCUAUUAUCUGAUCAAGUUUAAUAAGUUUUUACAUCAAUCACACAAAGUUAGACUAUAAUUAGCAACUUAUACAAUGGAUGCAACAUCAAUAUUUGUGAAGUCUUUUCAAGUUAGAAUUGAUAGAUGUGAAAGAUGGAGUUGAUGAUGAAGCAGUCCAGUAAUUUCAAUCGAAUGGAAUAGUUUCAAUUAUUAAAAGUGGUGAUGAGUCUCUUAACAUAUUAAAUAAGAUUAUGUUGAUCCUAGCAAAUUUGAUGAAUGAUAUUGGAGGAUCCACACCAGAUAGUAUUCAAGAAUAUGAAGAUGACACUCAAGGAGAUGGCAGUGAUGGAGAGGACAUUGAUGGAGAUGAUACAACUAAAGAGAAAGAUAAUAUGAAAAUUGAUGAAAGCAUUGAUAAUGAUCUUGAUGAUUAGUAAAAAGAUUUUUUUUCGUAUAUGUAUGUUGCAUUAUUGGAAGAAAUUUAUGAAAAAAAUUUUAUCUUCAUAAAUUUUUUUAUUCUUUAUGUUUAUAUAGUUGUGAUGUAUUCAAAUUUUAAGUGUAUAAUAUUUUUUACAACUAUUGAGUAUAAUUAUUUGCUUAAUUUGUUUAUCUUUCUAGUUUCUUUAUAGAUUUAUGGCAGGACCUAGAAGAGGCCAAUAUAAGCGACUCUGGAGUUUAUCUUCAUCAAAUGUUGAUAUAGUAGGUUGAGAGGAAGAUGUUAUAACACCUACUUUAGCUCCAACAUUCACUAUACCUACAUUACCAAAUAGCAAUGAGAUUUUUUCUAUUACAAAUACCUCUAGAAGAGCUCUCAGUCCUCCUAGCUUAAGGAGUAGUGAAAGUAAGUAUAUAUAUUCAAAUGAAUAAUUGUAUCUAUUUAAAAUAUUAUAGUUUGUAAAUAUAAUUUUAUACUUAUAUAAUAAUUAUAUGCAUGCUUGAUAUUGACUAUAUUUGUAUUUCUAGGUUCUUCCUUAUCGAGGAGAGGUCAUGGUACAUCACGAUGCAUAAUAUUAGAUAAGAAAGUCCAUAAGGUUGUCACUUGUAUACUUCAUUAUUAUAUUAGUGCAUGAAUUAUUUAUAUAUGCUUUGCUAUUUAUAUUUUAAAAAAAUAAUAUUUGGUUUAACAUUACAUCAUGGGCAUAAGAUGAUUGCAUUUGGAGAAAGAGAACGUAUACCAUUGGAGAAUGAUGCUGAUUUUACAAGAGAAGUUGGAUUUAUUGUUAAGACAUGUACACUUCUUCAUGAUGUAGGAAGAUGGAAAAAAAUCUUAGAGAAAUAAAUAAAAAAAUUAUUAUCCACAUUUAGAGGUUAUUAUAAUUUUUAUACUAGUUAUAUUCAUUUUUCACUUAGUUUUAUUAUUAAUGUAUAAAAAAGUUGUUUAAGUGACAUUAUCAUUAAUUAUUUCAGAGAUGGCUUGAAAUUAUGGAUUGACCGACUCUACAUGUGAAGAAAUAUGUUUAUAAAAUAUUUCAAAUCUAUUGUAGGCAUUGGAGGAAUAUACUCAACAAAGAACAUAAGAAGCUAAUAGUAAAAGAUAUAAAUCCACAAGAAAAAUCUCCAUGCCCAGAAGUUGGAUUAGAAGAUUGGCUUUCAGUAUGUGAUCGGAUAGAGGAUGAUGAAUUUAAGGUAGUAACUCAUAUGGCAAAAUAUAUUUACAUAUCUUUUAUAUUUUUAUUUAAUUUUUUAACUUAUUAUUGUAGAAGCGAUCACAAACAAACUCAAGUAAUCGUUCAUAACUCCUAUAUAGCCAUACUUCGGACUCUAAGACCUUUCUUAGUUGAUUUUGAAAAAUAAUAAUAUAAUAUUUAUAACAUAUUUAUAUUUUUAAAAUAUUUAAUAUAUAUUAAGAUUAAUGAAUUGUUUAUUUUUUUAUUCUACCUUUACAAGGAGAAUCCAAGUAUUGGUUGAUUUCUUCAAGGAUAUACACACAAAGAAGGGUGGUCAAAAAUUUAUUAAUGAAACUACUCAAUCAAAAUUUAUAAGUAUAAGUGUACUCUUCUUAUAUUUUUUAUUUAUGAAAAAAAGUUAUCUUGAGAUCUAAAUUAUUUUUGAAAACUUCACAGGAUGAAAUGACUGAACUAAGAUAGCAAUCCUCAGAGGAAGGUAUAGAUCAAUGGUCAAAGAAUAUGGGACAUGGCAAGUCAAGAUAUUUGAGAAGAAUAUGGGACAUGACAUUAAAGUUGAAAGUUCAAGCUCAUCUUACGUAUCAAGCUCAUGUGAUAGUGAGCUUAGGAAUAGACUUGCUACUAUUGAGUCUCAACUAGAAACAACCAAUUAGAAGAUUGCUGAAGCCAAUGAGAAGAUUGCCAUGUAUGAAGAAAAAAUGAAGACUUAUGAAGAUCAAAUGAAGGAAUUUUAGUAAUUCAUAAGAAAGAUGUGACACAAUCGAGCUUAGUAGUCUACUUUUCUGACAGUAAAGUCACUUAUUUACUAUCUCUUAGCUAUAAUAAUUCGAUUAUUAUAAUUGUUGAUUGUUUGUAAUGGUGAUUUGAAGAUUGAAAGUUAAUGUGGUUGUUAUGGUAGUGGUUAGAUAGUUAUGAAAUGAUUAUCAUGGUAGUGGUUGUAGUAGUGGUGGUUGUCAUUGUUAUAUUUUUGGAUAGAUAGAUAUAUUAGCAUAGCUACAUGUUGUAUUACUUGUGAUUACUUGGAUAGUUAUGGAAUAGUUAUGGUGGUAAUGGCUGUAGUAGUAUUUGUCACUUGUGGGUAUUUUUGAAUAGAUAGAUAUAUUAGCAUAGCUAUAUGUUGUAUGACUUAUGGUUAUUUAGAUAGCUAUUAAAUGAUUAUGAUGAUAGUGGUUGUGGUAUAGUAAUUGUCAUUAUUGUAUUUAUAAAUAAAUAGAUGUAAUAGCAUGAUUAUAUAUUGUAUUACUUAUUAUUACAUGCUUGGAUAGUUAUGGAAUGAUUAUGGUGGUAGUGGUUGUGGUGGUGAUUGCCAUUAUUAUUUGAUUAUAGUUAUUUAAUAUUAGUAAUGAUUUCAUAUAAAUUAACAUAAAAUAUCUUAUAUGCAUGCUUAAAGAUUUUCUAAUUUUGCAUGCAUACUUAUAUUAUUCUAUUUUUUUGGAUUUUUUUUUUGUAUUGUAAGUUGUUCAGAAGGAAAUUGACUUGCAUGGGAGCUUUAUGGAAGCUUGAUCCUAUUGUGGUUGAGAAGGAAAUUAACUUACAUUGGAGCUUUGUGGAAGCUUUAGUUUCAUGGUUGUUACUUAAGACUUGAGUAUUUCAUAACUUUAUGAGUGUUGUAUGAGACUUAUCAUUUUAUUUAUAAAUUUUUGUUGUAAAGAUGAUGUAUAGAAGAAUAUAUAGGAAUCUUUAUAUGACUACGUAUUUGAAGGAUAUUUGAAUUAUUAUGAAUAGAUUAAUCAAUCUAAAUUUUAGUAUAUCUUACUUGUUUAUUUGAAGAAAAAAAAUAGCAGAUUAAUUUUUUUGUGAUAAUAAAUUUUGUUCUUAAUAGCAAGUUAACUUUUUGUGAUAAUAGAUUUUAUUACAAAAAAUAAUUUUUUAAUAGUAAGUUAACUUUUUUGUGAUAAUAAAUUUUGUUACUAGUGAUAGAUUAACUUUUUUGUGGUAAUAUAUUUUGUCACUAAAAAAUUUUUUACUAGCAUGUUAACUUUCUGUGACAACAAAUUUUAUCACUAUAAAUUACUUUUAAAUUACAGAUAUUUUUUGUGAUAAAAUAUUUAUCAUUAAAACUACUUAUUUUUGUGAUAACAUAUUUUGUUGCUUAAAGUAUAUAUCCUAUUCUACUAAAAAAUUUUAUUGUGAUAGAAAUAUUUUAUCGAAUAUUCAAUUUUUAUAGUAAUAAAAAUAUUUUGUUGCAUAAAAUUUAUACUCAAAAAUCUUUUAUGGCAAAAUAUUUUGUCACAAAAUGAAAUUUUUAGCGAUAACAUGUUUUGUCACAAAGCUAGAUUUUUAGUGACAAAAAAUUUUUGUCAUUUAAUAAUGCAUAUGAAAUAAAAUCUUACUCUUUUAGUGAGAAAAUACUUUUUGUGACAAAUUUUUUUAUCUUUUUGUGACAAAAUAUUUAUCGCUAGAUGAGAUUUUUUUUUGUGACAAAAUGCUAUGUCGUUACUAAAAGUAUAUUUUUAUGAUAAAAUAAGUUUUGCCAUAAAAAUUCAGUCAUGACUUAUUGCAAUGGUACUUAUGCAACAACUCUAUGAUGAAUUUUUUUCAUCACAAAAGGUUUUAGCGAUAAAAUCUUUUACAGUGUGUGAGUAUGGGAAACUCUCACUGGGCUGUAAAGCUCACAAUCCUCUUUUUUUAUUUUUCUAGAAUUAUAGGAUGCUCAUGUUGGCCAUGGUUUGGGCUUAUGGAUGAAAAGAUGAAUAGAUAGAGCAUUAUUGAUAUCUG